AUGUAGCUGACGAGUCCCAAAUAGAAUGAAGCACGCGUCAAACUGAAU
rnacentral:hammerhead_ribozyme from 1 species